UACGUAGGUGGCGAGCGUUGUCCGGAUUUACUGGGCGUAAAGCGCGCGCAGGCGGUUCGUUAAGUCCGGUGUGAAAGCUCCCGGCUCAACUGGGAGAGGUCAUUGGAUACUGGCGGACUUGAGGGAUGCAGAGGAAGGUGGAAUUCCCGGUGUAGUGGUGAAAUGCGUAGAUAUUGGGAGGAACAUCGGUGGCGAAGGCGGCUACCUGGACGGGUACUGACGCUGAUGCGCGAAAGCUAGGGGAGCAAACAGG
rnacentral:rRNA from 1 species